GACCGGGCGGUUGCUGCGGAAACGAGGACAUCCUUUAAGAAUGAGCUUAGUUCUGAGGUUCUUCGCGGGUGAUUCAAUCCCGAGUCGCGGCGUGGUUUUUGUCUUUCCGCCCCUUCGGCGAACAGUCCGUGGGCUGCUUAGACAAGUAUCUAAUUGAGGGGAAGCCCCAGCUUGGAUUUCUUAGUAAAUAUUCUACCCUGAGUUCCGUUCCACCUUCCGUUCAGAACUUAACUUUUUAUAGUUCGGUUCAAGACCUUCGCCACUGGCGGUGAUUCGUGCCCUGAUCAGCCCUAGUGAAACCUGCAACCAGGAACCAGGCCUCUGCUUCUCUCGCUAAUGAGCCCCUAUUCCUCGGAGAGGGCAGAGGGAGAAGUCCACUAAAGGGUUUGAAGAAUGAGGAGUGCCUCUUAUUCACUCCCUUUCAAAGAAUGAGAAAGUGUGUGUUCGCGGAAUUCUGAAACUCAUUUACGUGGCCUCUCAGGAUGUGAGGCAACCUAAAGAGAUGCCUUAAAAUAAUUAUUUAAAAUGGAUGAAGAAAAAAACAACUAGAUGAAGAAAUUAGGGAAAUGGGAAAAUAAGAGGAGGAUUAAGAUGAAGUCAUGAAUAAGUUCAGAGGAAUUCAAUGUUGAAUUUAAUGCGGAAUAAAGAGAACAUUCUUAUUUCUCUG